rnacentral:rRNA from 1 species
AUGAUUCAUCCAAAGAAGCUGUCUCAACUGGCUAAGAAGUUGCAGAGGCUGGUGGCAGCCGGUGGCCAGGAGACUGCAGACACUGAUGGAUGCUGCAGCACCGCUUCUGUUGCAGACAGGGGCCAUUGUGUUGUGUACACUACCGAUGGAUCACGGUUCGAGGUCCCGUUGGCGUACCUUGGCACAAUGGUCUUCAAAGAGCUCCUAAGGAUGUCUCAAGAGGAGUUUGGCUUUACCUGUGAUGGCAAGAUCACAUUGCCCUGUGAUGCCUCUGUGAUGGAGUAUGUGAUGUGUUUGAUUAGGAGAGAGGCCUCUAAAGAGGUCGAGAAGGCGUUCUUGAGCUCCAUAGUGAAGUCUUACUAUGGUGCGAGUUGUUUGGCACCAUCAGCUGGAUUUUAUCAGCAACUUUCUGUUUGUAGCUAG